rnacentral:lncRNA from 1 species
UAGCAUCCGUUUGGCCAUCUGAUAAGUCUGAAAAAUUUUUAAAAAAAUCACCAAAAAUAGCUUAUCAAAUAUAAAAAAUAUCAAAAAAAAAUAUUCUAAUUUGAAAGCAUUUGAUUAGAAGGACUCUCUAAAUUGAGAGGAGACGCGAUGCUUCAGCACAUGCAUGCGAGACAUCCUUCUCUUUUCUAAUUUUUCUCCACCCCAAAAUUUUUAGAAAAAAUCUAUCUCAUCUUUGAGAUGUG